GGUGAACGCUGGCGGCGUGCCUAAUACAUGCAAGUCGAGCGAAUGGAUUAAGAGCUUGCUCUUAUGAAGUUAGCGGCGGACGGGUGAGUAACACGUGGGUAACCUGCCCAUAAGACUGGGAUAACUCCGGGAAACCGGGGCUAAUACCGGAUAACAUUUUGAACCGCAUGGUUCGAAAUUGAAAGGCGGCUUCGGCUGUCACUUAUGGAUGGACCCGCGUCGCAUUAGCUAGUUGGUGAGGUAACGGCGCACCAAGGCAACGAUGCGUAGCCGACCUGAAAGGGUGAUCGGCCACACUGGGACUGAGACACGGCCCAGACUCCUACGGGAGGCAGCAGUAGGGAAUCUUCCGCAAUGGACGAAAGUCUGACGGAGCAACGCCGCGUGAGUGAUGAAGGCUUUCGGGUCGUAAAACUCUGUUGUUAGGGAAGAACAAGUGCUAGUUGAAUAAGCUGGCACCUUGACGGUACCUAACCAGAAAGCCACGGCUAACUACGUGCCAGCCGCCGCAGUAA
rnacentral:rRNA from 1 species